rnacentral:rRNA from 1 species
UACGGAGGGAGCUAGCGUUGUUCGGAAUUACUGGGCGUAAAGCGCACGUAGGCGGCUUUGCAAGUUAGAGGUGAAAGCCCGGGGCUCAACUCCGGAAUUGCCUUUAAAACUGCAUCGCUAGAGUUGUGGAGAGGUAAGUGGAAUUCCGAGUGUAGAGGUGAAAUUCGUAGAUAUUCGGAAGAACACCAGUGGCGAAGGCGACUUACUGGACACAUAUUGACGCUGAGGUGCGAAAGCGUGGGGAGCAAACAGG